rnacentral:rRNA from 1 species
GACGAACGCUGGCGGCGUGCCUAAUACAUGCAAGUCGAGCGGACGGAUGGGAGCUUGCUCCCAGACCGUCAGCGGCGGACGGGUGAGUAACACGUGGGCAACCUGCCUGUAAGACUGGGAUAACUCCGGGAAACCGGGGCUAAUACCGGAUAACUCUUUCCCUCACAUGAGGGAAAGCUGAAAGAUGGCAUCUCGCUAUCACUUACAGAUGGCCCGGCGGCGCAUUAGCUAGUUGGUGAGGUAACGGCUCACCAAGGCGACGAUGCGAAGCCGACCUGAGGGGGUGAUCGGCCACACUGGGACUGAGACACGGCCCAGACUCCUACGGGAGGCAGCAGUAGGGAAUCUUCCGCAAUGGACGAAAGUCUGACGGAGCAACGCCGCGUGAGUGAUGAAGGUUUUCGGAUCGUAAAACUCUGUUGUCAGGGAAGAACAAGUACCGGAGUAACUGCCGGUACCUUGACGGUACCUGACCAGAAAGCCACGGCUAACUACGUG